UACGGGGGGGGUAAGCGUUGUUCGGAAUUACUGGGCGUAAAGGGCUCGUAGGCGGCCAACUAAGUCAGACGUGAAAUCCCUCAGCUUAACUGGGGAACUGCGUCUGAUACUGGAUGGCUUGGAUUCGGGAGAGGAAUGCGGAAUUCCAGGUGUAGCGGUGAAAUGCGUAGAUAUCUGGAGGAACACCGGUGGCGAAGGCGGCUACCUGGACAGAUACUGACACUGAGGCGCGAGAGCGUGGGGAGCAAACAGG
rnacentral:rRNA from 1 species